rnacentral:tRNA from 1 species
GCCUGGGUGGCUCAGUCGGUUGAGCGUCUGACUUCAGCUCAGGUCAUGAUCUCAUGGUCCGGGCA